UAGGGAAUCUUCCGCAAUGGACGCAAGUCUGACGGAGCAACGCCGCGUGAGUGAAGAAGGAUUUCGGUUCGUAAAACUCUGUUGUUAGAGAAGAACAGCGCAUAGAGUAACUGUUAUGCGUGUGACGGUAUCUAACCAGAAAGCCACGGCUAACUACGUGCCAGCAGCCGCGGUAAUACGUAGGUGGCAAGCGUUGUCCGGAUUCAUUGGGCGUAAAGCGAGCGCAGGCGGUCAAUUAAGUCUGAUGUGAAAGCCCCCGGCUCAACCGGGGAGGGUCAUUGGAGACUGGUUGAAUUGAGUGCAGAAGAGGAGAGUGGAAUUGCAUGUGUAGCGGUGAAAUGCGUAGAUAUAUGGAGGAACACCAGUGGCGAAGGCGACUCUCUGGUCUGUAACUGACGCUGAGGUUCGAAAGAGUGGGUAGCAAACAGA
rnacentral:rRNA from 1 species